rnacentral:rRNA from 1 species
UACGGGGGGGGCAAGCGUUGUUCGGAAUUACUGGGCGUAAAGGGCUCGUAGGCGGCCAACUAAGUCAGACGUGAAAUCCCUCGGCUUAACCGGGGAACUGCGUCUGAUACUGGAUGGCUUGAAUCCGGGAGAGGGAUGCGGAAUUCCAGGUGUAGCGGUGAAAUGCGUAGAUAUCUGGAGGAACACCGGUGGCGAAGGCGGCAUCCUGGACCGGCAUUGACGCUGAGGAGCGAAAGCCAGGGCAGCAAACGGG